rnacentral:lncRNA from 1 species
UGAGGUUUCAGUAACUCAAGCCAGACCCAGUGUCUCUCUCUUAGCAUGCUGCCUGCCAAUCUGGAUGUAGAAUUCUCAGCUACCUCUCCAGCACCAUAUCUGCCUGCAUACAGUCAUACUUCUUGCUAUAAAGCAACAGGCACUUAAAUCACUUUAGUGGCUGCUCUUUGCUGAGAAGCUUAUUUUCUCCACAAAUAAAGAGCUGAAAAGUCCCUUCUGCUCUGGAGCAGAUCGGGCCAAGGAAGAACAGACGGGAAGACCUAGAAUUAAAUCCAUAUUCAGGAAGGAAAGCGCUGUUCUCAGCAGAAAUCCCAACAGUAGCCACUGUUAAUUAACGAAGACAACAGUCAGCAUAGGCGUCUUGAGCCUCAGCCAGUCACAGACAGCCUCGCUCCAGUAACUACGCUCCAGAGCCAGAGUCAAAAAAGACAGCCAAUCAGGGAAGACAGCCGGCAGAGUAUUAUUCUCUAACACUGGUGGCUGGCCUCGAACUCACUGUCUACAUGUUGGCUAGCCUUGAAGUCACAGUGACACUGCUUCCCAAGUAUACCACCAGCUUGGUGCAAACCUUUUCUUCCCCUUUCUGUUGGGAGCUGUGUGACCUUGUUUUGGACCAGUACAUGAGAGCUUGUCCAGUGGAUCUUCAGAUGAGGCAAAAGACCACAAGGGUAGUCUCACUUGGCAAGGACCAGUGGACUUUGGGACAGCGUAGAAUACUGCUGGGACUGUGUGGCCUGCAUGCUCUCGUCUCUUCUCUUGUGUAAUAUUGAUGAUUGUCUUGGUGUUUUUACUGUCAUUUUGUCAAUCAUGCAUAGGACAGAUGUGAUCAUUCUUGGAAACACCACUUUUCCUCAAAUAUUUUCCCCUAAAAUUCUUGGGAGCUGAUGCUUUUCAGGUCUCUUGUCUGGGGUUGCCAGCUUUCACUCCAGACCUUAGGAGCUGUUCUGAUUCAGUGCUGACAGGAUCGGAGGCAGAUUACCCCUAUUUCUCUAAAUAUGCUUUGAACAGGAUUGUUGAUCUUGAAAAUGUGCGCUUAUGUCAAUCACCUUUUAGUUUUGUAAAGACAGAAUGUACCUGGCUCGAUAUUUGACCAAGCCAGCAAAAUGAUAAGUGUUGUUUUGGAUUAAAGAUGUUUUGAUGUAGAAGUUGAGAAAAAACAUUUGACAUAUUUGGUUUUGCUGGAGGCUAAUGUUUGAGGAUGGC